AAGAAGUGAAACAGGAGAGAGGAAGAGGUGAGGCUGCAGAGUGAGGAGGAGCUAGAUCGUAGGGUCUUCCUAAAUUAAUGUAAGCAUUUUGGAUUUUAUUCUAAAAUCCACAGCUACAUUAAUGCAGCUGCUCUUCAAGAGAAUGGACAUGAAGAGGACAAGAGCAGAUAUGAAUGGGCCCACUGCGAACUAAGUGACCAGAUUAAGACAAGCAACCUAAAUAAAGAAUGUGGGGACUGUACCUCUCUUCAGAGCCAACAUCACUUAGAAGGUGGAAAGAAAACUUUAACUGCACCUGGAAAGGCUGGAGCAUGCAAUAUUUUUUUAAAUACCUGAUUAACACCUGCUUAAAUAUUUUCUUCCAAUCUUUAAUUAAACAGUUAAGGUAAGACUUCAUUUUCUAGAUAUAUAAUCAGACUGAGCAUGAAUAAUGCUCUACAGCUGCUAAUUUCCCUUUCCAAAGACAGAGUUAAACAGAAAAAGGUUCUUUACUUUCUAAAAGAGGGUAUUGAAAAACGGCGUUCUUCAUUUUUAAAAGAAACAAAAAUCUCAGAAUAGAAAAUAUGUACAUGUAACUAGAGAAAACAAUUGCCAGCAUUUUUUAAUUCUGAAAAUUACAAAUACAUAUUUCUCCUCAUCCUAACAGAAUUGUCUGAAGAGUCCAAAGUAAAAUUUAGUUAGAUCAUAAAAUAAUAAGGCCAACAGAUUCCUCUCACAUAUUGACUACUACUGAUAAUUUAGGAUGUACUUCAAAGUCUAGAGAAGGCAUUUUUACAUUGAGUAUAUAAUGCUUAAGUUAAUAUUUACAAAAUAGUAUUUUCAAAAGCAUGUUAUCAAAUGUCUUAUUUUCUGAUUUGCAGAAUUUUAGGGCUUUUUUCAAUCCCUUGACUAGUAAAUUGUCUUCUUAAAUAUUGCAAUGUAUUUGAUACAGAAAAAGAAGAAAGAUAAAAGUGGGAAGGAAAAACAGAGGAGAGAGUGAGGGAGGGUAUAUAGAGAGAGGGAAGAAUAGAAGUAAGUAAUAUAAUCAUCAUAACCCCAUAGCUAGUUUUAAGGCUAAUGGUCACGUUUUAGUUAAGGGACAAUACUUUGUUCAUCAUAUGCAAUGUAUACUAGUGUGACUGAGAGCAAUAGUAUCUACUUUCUAUGUAUAUGUCAACUUUCUUGUGGGAAGGGAGAGGAAGAUGACUCAUGGGAAUACCUCUGUUCAUGUGGUGGCCAAGCACUGAUUUCUAGAGCCAGCCUGUGUGUGUUUCCAUUGUGUCUCUAUGGCUUACUUGCAGUGUGACCCCAGGCAAGUCACUUAAUCAUGGUACCUCAGUUUUCUCAGCUAUGAAACGGGGAUAAUAGUCAUACAACCUCAUGUGGUUGUUGUAAGAAUUAAAGUGUUCAUAUAUUGAAAGGGCUCAGAACACUGCUUGGCACAUAAUAUGUUCUAUGUAAAUGUUUGGUAUUAUUAUUUUUUACUAUUACCAUAUGCAUGUGAUAAUUGUUAGUGCUUAUUAAAACGAAUUUCUU
rnacentral:lncRNA from 10 species